rnacentral:lncRNA from 10 species
CAGCGUCCCUGCCCUCAGGGUUCUCAAGGCAUUUACUGGAGUAAGGUCAGUGGUUCUUAAUCUUGAUUGUUCAUGAGACUCACCCAAGAAUUGAUUUGUGUUUUUAUUCAUUUAUUUUAACCAUACUCAGGUCCCACUGCAAUUCAGUUGAAUAAGAAAGAAGGAGAAGCUGUGAACUGUAGGUCUAAGGACUUCUCAAACUUUUUCACGUACAUGGAGUCACCCUGGGCUCUUAUCAAAAUGUAGAUUCUGAUUCAGUAGGUCUGGGGAGCUGCUGCUGCUGCUGGUUCCAAACUACGCUGGAUUAAAAAGAGGCAAAGAAGCAGAAGAUAAGCACAGGGUUGCCUGGGAUGAAGUUUGCUCAGCCAUUAAAAGGUGGGAAAGUCUCCUGCUGCUGUGUAUAUGAGAGAAAGCCACUGUUAACGUCAUGUGUCAGCUACCCAUCAAUUGAGGCAGAGGAAGCAAUUGGUUCAUCAAUGGGUUGGUAAGAAGCCCUCCAAACCUUAAUUAUCUGAGUGCCCCUCAGUUUCACUGGGCUUGUCACUGACUCCUUACAAGCUCAGAGGCAGACGAAAAGACAAACAGCACAUCACCAACUGGUUAAUUAGCAGUGAACACAAAGCAACCCAAAUUACAAGCUCGAGAAAAGAUGCCACAGAUUUCCUUUUCAUACACUGGAUUCAAACAUCACGGGCAAGGGGAAAUGGCGAGUUUUUCAUGUUCCAAAAGUAUCUCAACUGCCCCCUGGGCUCUGCUUCAGAAAUCAGGAAGCCAAAUAAUUCUUUUCUUCCCCAAAGAAUUACAGAGGACCUACUGCAUCCUGAUCCCAAGGCUACGAAGGGGAAUACAAUGUGGCUGACUGAGUCAUUCUUUCAUGUAUUCCUUCAACAAAGAUAUAUUGUGGUCUCCUAAUUCCUACUACAUCCAAGUGCUAAGCUAGACACCAGGCACAUGGUUAUAAAAAAUAAAGUCAUGUGGCCAGGCACAGUGGUUCAUGCCUGCAAUCCCAGCACUUUGGGAGGCCGAGGCGGGUGGAUCAUCUGAGGUCAGAAGUUCGAGACCAGCCUGGCCAACAUGUUGAAACCUCGUCUGUACUAAAAAUACAAAAAUUAGCUGGGCAUGGUGGUGCAUGCCUGUAAUCCCAGCUAUUCGGGUGGCUAAGGCAAAAGAAUCGCUUAACUCUGGGAGGCAGAGGUUGCAGUGAGCCAAGAUUGUGCCAUUGCACUCUGGCCUGGGCGACAGCAUGAGAUUCUAUUUCAAAAAUAAAUAAAUAAAUAUUAAAAAAAUAAAAAUAAAGGCAGGUUUUUGACACAUGCUACAGCAUGGAUGAAUCUUGAGGAGAUUAUGCUAAGUGAAAUAAGCCAGACACUGAAAGACAAAUAGUGUAUGAUUCCACCUAUACAAGACAUCUAGCAUAGUCAAAUUUGGAGAGACAGAGAAUUGAAUGAUGGUUGUCAGCCAGUGGGGGGGGAGGGGAAGGCAAAAUUACUGUUUAGUGAUUAUGGAGUUUUCAUUUGGGAAGAUGAAAAGUCUGAAGAUAUAGUGAUGAUAACAGCAUAAAAACGUGAAUAUACUUAAUGCCACUGAAGCAUACACUCAAAAAGUAUUAAAGUGGUACAUUUUAUGUUCUGGAUAUUUUGCCGCACUUUAAAACAAUUUUUUUAAAGACAGAAAACAAAGGCAUGAUUCCUGUCCUCAGAGAAAUUACAUUCUAGUGGGAAGGUAGUCAUGAAAUAAACUGAGAAAUCAGCACAUAACUAACACUGCAUGGUACAAUUGCUAUAAAGAAAGGAAGGUCCCUCUCAUUAGAAUCAAUGUUGCUAAUCUAUCUAAAUACAAAAAUAACCACCAUAUUAUUUGCUUUAUUUCAUUUACAAAUGGGUCCCUUUACAUAUUGACCUCUUGAUUAUGUUGAAGGUGUAUAGAUAAAUCGUUCACUACCUAACUAAGAGGCCUACAGGCAGAGAAUUUUCAAGAUAAAGUGUUAUGGGGUAGUGCCAAUUGAAGAUCAAUCAGAAAUUACAGUAAGCAUCUUGGUAAUUACAACAAAAGCUAAUGGAAAAAAUGAUUUAACUCAUAAAAGUUUACUAUAUACCCAGUCUUAUACACACAUAUACCUAUAAAAUGAUGUAAUGAAAAAAAUCCAUAUGAGGCUGCAUGGUUUGCAUAUUUAAUAGACACAGUUAUUGCUUGUGAGCAUAAUAUUCCAUAUUUACUUGUCUAAUAUUCCCUCUCCUGCUGAUUAUUUGAGCAUUGCUGUUUUUCAAAAAGUUAAAACAGUAUGUCACUUCAAUCUCACUGCUAUUGCGCAAAGGAUUUAAACUUUUGUGCCUUUGUUUAAAAAAAAAUUCUUAGCUAAAGCUUCUCAUUAAAAUGUAGAGAACACAAGCAUCCUCAAAUUUAACCUGGAACUUGCAUUGAAAAAAAAAAAAAAACCUACACAAAGCCUUUGGAUUGAACACUGUGCUUUUAUCCUCUGACAAUGUGGCAAACUUUCAGCAUUUCCGGGAAUAUUUUCCAACUCCUUUAAGCACCUGAAGGGUUUCUUGCAUGUCGGAUUGGUUGGCAAGGAAGAUGUGAGUAAAGAGAAAAUAGCAGAAGAAGGAAAAAAGAGAAAUGAUAUCCUUUAGAUUCACCUACCAAAUAAUCGCAUCCUUUCACCAGUGACUUUAUCAGGUUGAGGGCAAAGACAAUACUGCCAGGAUAAUUAACAAUUCUGGUUUUAAAAAGCCGAAGUUGAUUACCUAAAGGGCAGGCUGCUCUUUAAAUUAAAGAUGAUAUCUGAGGCAUUUACAGCAAUGUAUUUAUAGCCACAGGUAUUAUACAUAAAUAUAUAGGUCAAGAGUCUACUCCCAAUUGUCUAACAGGGCCAUCCAGGUGAAAUAAUUGAGUGGAGUGAGCUGGGUAGGGACGGGUGUGAGCUAGCCGGCAUGCUCUUAAUGAAGUGGGCAGAUGUUACUCAACCAGAUGCGGCCCCAUAUUGACAGAGCUUCCACAUUUCAGAGGAAGGCAGAAAUAUUGAUUUUCAUGUAAAAUCUCAUGGUUUGUAAAUACUGGCCCAUAGAGAAUUAAUUUUUUUAAUACAUAUAACUUUAUAAUUGCUGUGUAAGCCAAACAAAAUAUAUCUGCAGGUCGAAUUUCCUGGGCACCACUAAUGUUGACCUAUGUCCUAGUUGACCCCAGUUCCUAAACAUUGUGGUGGGAGAAGAUUCAGGAAUCCUCUGCUGAGCAUCAGAUUUCAUAACCCUGGCCUUGGAUGCCCUCGAUGAAGUCAAAGAACAACCCUCCAGGCGGGAGAAGUGUGGGCUUCCGCAACUUGGCUUGGAAAUAUUCCAGAGAGCUCUACCUCCACACCUCAGGCAUGAGAGGCAGAAACUCUCAGGGCUUCACCUAAGCAUUCCUCCUUCUUCUCCUUCUCCUCCACCCCCUAACACCCCUCCACCACCCAAACAGUAUGCAAGGUUCAGGAAGAUGGAAGAGAACUAAAAACAAAAUCUCCAGAGUUAUCUUUGGCAAAAGAAAUAAAGGUAUUCCCUCUAGCUAGUUCUUGUCCCAGUUUCAGAUAAAAAGAUUCUUUUUUUUUUUUUUUUUUUUUUUACCAAAGAACUACCUAAUGAUGGAGGGUGAGGGAAAGAUAUUUGCCACCCUACAAAUAGGUUCUCUUUUUUUUUUUAACUUUUAUUUUAGGUUCAGGGUUACAUUUGCAGGUUUGUUAUAUAGCUUAACUCGUGUCACUGAGGUUUGAUGUACAGAUUAUUUCUUCACCCAGGCACUAAGCCUAGUACCCAAUAGUUAUGGAGGUUGAGAGGAGGAAGCAAAACAAAACAAAAACAAAAGUUUUCCUUUGAUAAGCCCAAAUCUUCCCAACUCUAUUACUAGAUUCUCAAACUGACAGGUUUCAGGGAGAAUCUGCCCUUCAAACAGUUUUAUUUGACUAGCACAGGUAGUUUUGUUUUAUUUGGCUUCUAACUUGUUUUUUCUUUUUUGAGAUGGGGUCUCACUCUGUUACCCAGGCUGCAGUGCAGUGGCAUGAUCUUUGACCACUGUAACCUCUGCCUCCCGAGUUCCAGUGAUCCUCCUGCCUCAGCCUCCCAAGUAGCUGGAAUUAUAAGCAUGUGCCACCAUACCUGGCUAAUUUUUUUAUUUUUAGUAGAGACAGGGUUUCACCUUGUUGGCCAGGCUGGUCUCGAACUCCUGGCCUCACGUGAUCCACUAUCCUCAGCUUCCCAAAGUGCUGGGAUUACAAGCAUGAGCCACCGUGCCCAGGCCUAAAAUAUCUUUAAUUCUACCAUGUGGGGGUAUGUACUCUGGCUUGGCUAAAUGGGCCACCACCCCCAUUUGUCUCAAACCCUGUGGAGGCACUAUGUGUGUUAUCUGCCUGGCUUCUGAAUUUGCUAAGGCAACUGAAUUUGCUAACUCUCCACUUUCUUGUCUUUUCUCCAUUCCUCUAUUUAUUCCUUUUAAAAGAAACCAGCCUCUAAAUGAAUUCUACAAGCUAGGUACAAUGCAUCUGAACCAAUCACACGAAACUAGAACUACUGUGUGUAGGACUGCAGUAGGCACUGAUGAUGUAAUAGUGAAUAAAGACACAGGCCAGCUAUGAGUGGGCUCAAGGUCAUCAUGGGAGAAAUAAAUUACCAAAGAGAUAGGCUUACUGCCAAGUAGAAGCUGCUCCAGUAUAGAGAUGCUUGAGUGCUGGGAGACAUGGGAAGAACUAGUUCUCACUGGAUUUGGGGGGCUGAGGCCUCUCAUCUUCUUUGGAGGCUGUUGCAUGGUCAUUCUGGAUCUACUUAUUUGUUUUUAACUGAUUGAGAUGACAACCAGGCUUGAAUGAAGGAAAUGUCAUGCCAUUUGAGGGGGGUGUGUAGUUCCUCCCUUAUCAUGGUUGGACUCAGCCAUGUGCUUUGGCCAACGGAAUGUAAGCUGAUAUGUACAGGCAGAAGUCGGCAGAGGGGGAAGCACUGGGGCAGAGUUGAGCUGAGUCAUAACCAUCCUGUAUUUUUGGUUUCGUGAAAAUGAAUGUUUGUUAUUGUAAGCCACUGAAAUUCGAGGGUCGUUUGUUAUGCAGCAAAGCUAAUUAAUGCACUAGCACAGUGUACUGACAACCAUUGUUUUGUUAAGGAAGAAAAAUGUUGACAAUUUUCUGUUCAAAUAACAUCUGCACAUCAGCGACCCACUUAGCAAAAAUAAGAGGUAUAGUUGCCAAUAUAAAUUGAAAAAGGGACACAUUGGGAAAGCCAAUACUGAGCUCCUUAUUUUUCCCCUGAAAAUAGCGCACCUCCACUGAUUUUGCCAUUCGGUAAAUGGUAACUCCGUCCUGCUUGUGGUUCAGGCCAUAAACACUACGUCAUCCUUGACUUUUCUUUCUCUCACACCUCACACCCAAAUCGACAAGCGAAUUCUGUUGACUCGACUGUUGAAAUAUAUCAUAUAUCUGGCCCCUUCUCACCAACUUCACUGCCAGGACUCUGACACCAGCCACCAUGAUGUCUGCCUGAAUCACCGAAUCACCACUGGCCUCCCAACUUCCUGCUUCCACUCUUCCCCAACAGUCUACCUUUUAACCAGCAUCCAGAAUAAUGGUAAUAAAACCAAACUUACAAUAUGGCCCUCUUUUCUUCCAUUGACUCUCAUCUCACUCAGAGUAAAAGCCGAAGACCUCGCCACAGCCCACCCAGUCUCAUAUUCUCUCCCUUGUUCACCUGAAUCCAGCUAACUGAUAUCCUUGCUGUUUCUCCAUCACGCCAUACUUAUGCCCACUUUGAAAGUUUUCAUUUGCUACUUGUUAUAUCUGGACUGCUCUGCAAGGGAAACCUGUUGGCUUGUUUUCAUUUCCUUCAUUUCUUGGCUCAAAUAUCUCCUUAUCAAUGAUAUCUUUUCUGAAAUUCUUGUGCAAAAGAGCAGCCCCAUCCCCACUAUCUCCCCUCCUGCCUUCUUUUCCCUCAUUUGUCUCUCUCCAUAGUACUUCUCACGACCUGAUAAACUAUACAGUUAGUUCUUUCCUGGUUCCUUCUACUGGAAGUAAGCCUCAUGAGAAUAUAAAUUUUAUUUUGCCCACUACCUUAUCCUCACCUCCUACCAAGGGCCAGGCACAUUAUAGGUACUCAAAAUAUAUUUAACGGACAAAUAUUGGAAUCAGGCAAAUCUACAUUUGAAUUCUAGCUCUGACAUUUAUUGGCUGUGUGACCUUGGACAAACCACAACACCUCUCCGAACUUCUAUUUAAUCAUCUGCUAAAUGUGAAAACAAUCACCUCCCUUCAAGGCUUCUUCAAGGUAUAGAGGUAAUGUCUUUUCAGGGCUCACACUGAUACGGGGUAGAUGUUAUUAGAGACACUGCUUAUUUCCCAACUCUCUGACAUCCUUGUUCAUCCUGCUCCACCAGCCCACGUUGGUCUGCCCACACCAAGCUCGCUUCCACCUGGCCUUUGCACUCACUGCUCCAUCUGCCUGGAAUACUCAUCCCCAGAUCUCUGUAUCAUGGGUUUCUUCUCAUCACUCAAAUUCCCGCUAUGAUGAGACCUCCUUACAGAUGACAUCCCAGCCAUGCUGCCUCAACUCUCCAUCAGUCACACCCCAACACAUCAUCAGUUUCUUUCCUCCAUAGACUUAUCACCUUAUUAGUCAUUUGCUUGCUUGCCCUCUGCAUAGCUACCCUAACUAGAAGACAAACUCCAGAAGGAGCAAGCUCAUAUGUCAUGUUCACCAACACUUCUGCAAUACCUGGCACACAAUACCCACUAAGCAAAGAUAAGAGGUAUAGAUGACAAUAUAAAUAGAGAAAAGGGAUAAAAUGGGAGGGCCAAUACUGAGCUCCUCAAGUAAAUAUCUCUUGAAUAAACAAAAAACUUAAUGGAGAAAAUGUACGCAGCAAAUAAUGUAUAUGCAUAAUAAUCUGUUUUAUGAUUAUCACAGUGAAAUCCUAGUACCAUAUGGGUUGAGAAUCAGGUGAUGUUGUGGGAAGAGGGAACAGCAGAAUGGCAACAAAAUGUUGGAGGACUCUGCCUCCAAGGGAUCUGGAAAGCAUUUUAUUUAAAAAAAUAAAAUAAAAUAAAGUAAGAGUGUAAAGUAUUUACUAAAAUAGAAAAUCAUCAGUCGCACCCAGAUGACACCAAAGACCUAAGAAAGCGAGGAAUCUUUGGCCAGAAUCACCAUUCUAGUAUUUACAAACAGCAGACUGCACUGCAAAGAGGAAGCAAAGAAACCUUGCUUAAUUCACGUUAGAGCAGAAAUAUUUAAAUACAGAGAGUCAGGAAAUAAUUAUGACUAGAUAACUCAGGCCCAGGUCAUCUUCAUUUCAAUCCUAAAUGGAGACAGUUUUGCCCUUUGGGCACAGAGACUGAAAGGCCUCCUCCCCUUUGGAAUUCAAAACAGAAAUGAAAAACAUCACUCUAAAAAAGGUCAAGAUUCAGGUUUCAGAGAUUUGCCAGUGCAACUGGGAACCAGACAUCAAAAAAAAAUUAAAAUACUACUUUCAUUUCUGGAACCACUUGACACAUCUGUAAGUGUCUAAAUGUAGCCUGUAUCAUGGACUAACCCACUGAUGAGAUCGUAAAAGUUUUGUGAGCGGAUACAGCCAAACUCUAUCUCCCAGGAUUCAAGGAAAUCCUUUUGUUUUCUAAAGUCAUUUCAAAGAUGCUAUUUAUCAUCCGUUGGGAGAAUGAAUAUUGAAGCAUCAGUGUUUUGCUUUCGGUCAGCUGUACAAGUCUACAAAGAGGAUGCUAAUCAAACUGGACCAAGAAAAUUUAGAAAAGCAAGAAGUCAGAGCUGGAAGUAACUCCACGUGACUUUGAAACCCCUUCUCUGCACCAACACAGGACAAAGAAUUCACCUGCGAUGCUCCAGAAACUCCAGAAUGUGGCCUGGCAGGCUCUGCCCCAGCCAGGGCUCAGCGGUUUCCACCUUCCACAGCACUCAGAAAACAAAAUAUUCCAGUUAAAAUGCACUGUACAGUGUUAUAUUACCCUGAUGCAAGAUUUAUGAAGUGUUUAUGCGGUUAAUUGAGAACAGACGCAGACAAAAAAGUAAAAAAUACCUUUAGUCUUACUUUAUUUUAAUGAAAUCCAGAUAAGAGGGAGAGUUUUUGUUUUGUUUUGUUUUGUUUGGUCAAUUUGUCUUUAGAUAAUUUCACAUGAAAAAGCAAAUAUUUUAGGCAUCGGAUACUCUUCUGAUGGUUCCCCUUUAUAUGAAAAGAGUGACCACAUAUCCAGAAGGUCCAAUAGCCCAUGAUUUUGGAUCAUUUAAAAAUACUGAUAUUCUUCUUGGACCAUUUAGUAUGUGAUCCUUUCAGACAUAUUUCUUUCUAAACCUCACUCUGUCAUUUCCCCCAAAGACGGACAGAUGAUGACAGCCAAGGAGUGAUGUAACCAGUGUGGAGCAUCUCUCAAGGCGAUGGAAACAACGUGAACACUGCAAGCGUGAGGAAACAGGAGACGCCAUCAUUUCAUCAGGGAAAGUAAGCACAAACCUGCAGGAGGCGUCCUCGUGGAAACUUCUUCCUUGUCGUGUUACAAUUUCUGUUGACUCAUCCCAGCUCAGGGGAUGCAGAGCCGCAGGAGUACACAAAAUGAUAAGGUUUUCCUUUCAAUUUAAAAGUCAUGUUUGAAGCAUUUCAUUAAGAAAUUGUAGAGAAAAACUCAUCUCUCAUUAAACAUGAUAGGAAAGGCUUCAGACAUACUUUUUCCAUUCAUCUUCUCAUUAUGGGAAAUGCUGCUGCCUGUGUCACUCAGGUAUAAACUAAAAGGUCAGUUCUUUAGCAAGGAGGCUUUGUAAUCUGUUAGAAAACACGGUGACAACACCCCCAGUGCAUCCUCCUGAUUGUCGCUUCAGUUGGCCCAUGACUUCUCUCUCCCUGCUCCAUACAAUGCAGUUGCAUUUUUGAGGAAAAAAGUUUCUCUUUUUUCUCACUGUUUAGAUUCUCCUAAGCUUAAUAUUUUUAAAACGUUAGCUCCAUCUCACCCCUAAUCCAAGAGAUCCUCAUCUACGUCCCAGAGUACAGGUUGAUGAUGAUUCCCAGUAUCAUCUCCAAGCACAUCACCUCCAGAAACUUUUCUCAAAUGUUCCUUUGACCCCUCCCUACAGGCCAUCAAGGCCCACUGCUCCUGCCUCUGGAUGUUUUAACCCCCAACUUGUCUAUAACACUCACUUUCUAUGACAGUAUAUUAUGGGCAUAUGCAUGUGCAGACGAGUAAAGGUGGAUGCAGGUAGGCACAGGUGAGUGAAGGUGAGCGCAGGUAGGCACAGGUGAGUGAAGGUGGGCGCAGGUAGGCACAGGUGACUGAAGGUGGGUGCAGGUAGGUACAGGUGAGUGAAGGUGGGUGCAGGUAGGCACAGGUGACUGAAGGUGGGUGCAGGUAGGUACAGGUGAGUGAAGGUGGGUGCAGGUAGGUUCAGGUGAGUGAAGGUAGGCGCAGGUAGGUGCAGGUGAGUGCAGGUAGGCACAGGUGAGUGAAGGUGGGCGCAGGUAGGCACAGGUGAGUGAAGGUGGGUGCAGGUAGGCACAGGUGAGUGAAGGUGGGUGCAGGUAGGUACAGGUGAGUGAAGGUGGGUGCAGGUAGGUUCAGGUGAGUGAAAGUAGGCACAGGUAGGCGCAGGUGAGUGAAGGUAAGUGCAGGUAGGCACAGGUGAGUGAAGGUGGGCGCAGGUAGGCACAGGUGAGUGAAGGUGGGCACAGGUAGGCACAGGUGAGUGAAGGUCGGUGCAGGUAGGUACAGGUGAGUGAAGGUGGGCACAGGUAGGCACAGGUGAGUGAAGGUGGGUGCGGGUAGGCACAGGUGAGUGAAGGUGGGUGCAGGUAGGUAAAAGUGAGUGAAGGUGGGCGCAGGUAGGCACAGGUGAGUGAAGGUGGGCGCAGGUAGGCACAGGUGAGUGAAGGUGGGUGCGGGUAGGUACAGGUGAGUGAAGGUAGGUGCAGGUAGGCACAGGUGAGUGAAGGUGGGUGCAGGUAGGUAUAGGUGAGUGAAGGUGGGUGCAGGUAGGUAUAGGUGAGUGAAGGUGGGCACAGGUAGGUACAGGUGAGUGAAGGUAGGUGCAGGUAGGCACAGGUGAGUGAAGGUGGGUGCAGGUAGGUGCAGGUGAGUGAAGGUGGGUGCAGUAGGUACUGGUGAGCAAGGGUGGACACAGGUAGGUACUGGUGAAUGAGGGUGGGUGCAGGUAGGUUCAGGUGAGUGAAGGUGGGUGCAGGUAGGUACUGGUGAGCAAGGGUGGACACGGGUAGGUACUGGUGAGUGAAGGUGGGUGCAGGUAGGUACAGGUGAGUGAAGGUGGGUGCAGGUAGGUACUGGUGAGCAGGGGUGGAUGCAGGUACAUACUGGUGAGUGAAGGUGGGUGCAGGUAGGUUCAGGUGAGUGAAGGUGGGUGCAGGUAGAUACUGGUGAGUGAGGGGGGGUGCAGGUAGGUUCAGGUGAGUGAGGGUGGGUGCAGGUAGGUACUGGUGAGUGAGGGUGGGUGCAGGUAGGUGCAGGUGAGUGAAGGUGGGUGCAAGUAGGUGCAGGUGAGUGAGGUAGGUGCAGGUGGUAGAGAAGGGUCCUGCCUCAGAAUGCCUAUCCAUUCAUUCCAUAAAUGACCACUUCUUGAGUGCUAUUUGUUAAAACUUUCCCAAGACCCCAGGACACUGCUAAAUAAUCUAUACAGGAAGUCUGAUCUUGGAAAGCUUACAAACUAUCCGAAGGGGUAGGCAUUAAAUCAAGUGCUCAAUUUAUUAGCUAUUUGCAGUGGUUAAAAGUGCCUCAAGGAAGAAAAACAAAAUUCUUGAAAAUGUUUCAAAACCAAACCUGACCAAAUCUCAGGACAAGGGUCAAGGGAGGCUCUCUGAGGACAUAUCAGAGGAGUGGGUGUUGGAUGGUCAAGGAAAAGAAAAGAAUGUCAGAACAGCAUGUACACGGCCCCGAAGCAGCAUGGAGAUGGGUUCUUUUCUGCAAAACUUUCAAAACCAGCACUGCUGAACCAAUAAGAAAGUGAGUCUGGUAGAGGCUACACAGAGGUUCUAAAUCCAUGCAACCUACGUGUUCAUCCAUCAACGAGUAAGUGGAUAAAGAAAAUACCGUCCAUAUACACAAUGGAGUACUAUUCAGCCAUAAAAAAGAAUGAGAUCCAGUCAUCUGCAACAACAUGGAUGGAACUGAAGAUCACUAAGUUACAUAAACCAGGCACAGAAAGACAAACAUCACAUGUUCUCACUUAUCUGUGGGAUCCAAAAGUCAAUACAAUUGAACUCAUGGACAUAUAGAGUAGAAGGAUGGUUACCAGAGGCUGGGAAGGGAGGUAGGGAGCUGUGGGGGAGGUGGAGAUGGUUAAUGGGCACAAAAAAUAGUUAGAAAGAAUUAAUAAGAUGUACUAUUUGAUAGCACAACAGACUACAGUCAAUAAUAACUGUACAUUUUAAAAUAAAUAGUAUAAUCGGAUUGUUUGCAACUCAAUGGAUAAAUGCUUGGGAGGAUGGAUAGAUACCGCAUUCUCCAUGACAUGUUUAUUUCACAUUGCAUGCCUGUAUCCAAACAUCUCAUGUACCCUAUAAAUAUAUACAACUCUAUGUGCCCACAAAAAUUAAAAAUUAACAAUAAAGAAUUUUUUUAAAUCCAUGCAAGACUUUAUUUGAAGAGCAAUUGGAAGUCACAGAAAGCUGUGACUACUGAUGUGAUGUGAUUACUAAUGUGAAAAUUAAAUGCAGGA